rnacentral:ncRNA from 1 species
UCGGUUCCGGUUCACGUGGGGCAAAUCCGCCCCGCGACCCGGCGCC